ACGAACGCUGGCGGCGUGCUUAACACCUGCAAGUCGAACGGAAAGGCCCUGCUUUUGUGGGGUGCUCGAGUGGCGAACGGGUGAGUAACACGUGAGUAACCUGCCCUUGACUUUGGGAUAACUUCAGGAAACUGGGGCUAAUACCGGAUAGGAGCUCCUGCUGCAUGGUGGGGGUUGGAAAGUUUCGGCGGUUGGGGAUGGACUCGCGGCUUAUCAGCUUGUUGGUGGGGUAGUGGCUUACCAAGGCUUUGACGGGUAGCCGGCCUGAGAGGGUGACCGGCCACAUUGGGACUGAGAUACGGCCCAGACUCCUACGGGAGGCAGCAGUGGGGAAUAUUGCACAAUGGGCGGAAGCCUGAUGCAGCAACGCCGCGUGCGGGAUGACGGCCUUCGGGUUGUAAACCGCUUUCGCCUGUGGCGAAGCGUGAGUGACGGUAAUGGGUAAAGAAGCACCGGCUAACUACGUG
rnacentral:rRNA from 1 species